rnacentral:rRNA from 1 species
GACGAACGCUGGCGGCGUGCUUAACACAUGCAAGUCGAACGAAGAGCGAUGGAAGCUUGCUUCUAUCAAUCUUAGUGGCGAACGGGUGAGUAACGCGUAAUCAACCUGCCCUUCAGAGGGGGACAACAGUUGGAAACGACUGCUAAUACCGCAUACGAUCUAACCUCGGCAUCGAGGAUAGAUGAAAGGUGGCCUCUACAUGUAAGCUAUCACUGAAGGAGGGGAUUGCGUCUGAUUAGCUAGUUGGAGGGGUAACGGCCCACCAAGGCGAUGAUCAGUAGCCGGUCUGAGAGGAUGAACGGCCACAUUGGGACUGGGACACGGCCCAGACUCCUACGGGAGGCAGCAGUGGGGAAUCUUCCGCAAUGGACGAAAGUCUGACGGGGCAACGCCGCGUGGGUGAUGACGGCCUUCGGGUUGGAAAGCUCUGUUAAUCGGGACGAAAGGCCUUCUUGCGAAUAGUUAGAAGGAUUGACGGUACCGGAAUAGAAAGCCACGGCUAACUACGUG